rnacentral:rRNA from 1 species
AUACGAAGGGGGCUAGCGUUGCUCGGAAUUACUGGGCGUAAAGGGCGCGUAGGCGGAUAUUUAAGUCAGGGGUGAAAGCCCGGGGCUCAACCUCGGAAUUGCCUUUGAUACUGGAUAUCUUGAGUUCGGGAGAGGUGAGUGGAAUGCCGAGUGUAGAGGUGAAAUUCGUAGAUAUUCGGCGGAACACCAGUGGCGAAGGCGACUCACUGGCCCGAUACUGACGCUGAGGCGCGAAAGCGUGGGGAGCAAACAGGAUUAGAUACCCUGGUAGUCCACGCCGUAAACGAUGAGUGCUAGUUGUCGGCAUGCAUGCAUGUCGGUGACGCAGCUAACGCAUUAAGCACUCCGCCUGGGGAGUACGGUCGCAAGAUUAAA